rnacentral:rRNA from 1 species
GACGAACGCUGGCGGCGUGCUUAACACAUGCAAGUCGAACGGAAAGGCCCUGCUUUUGUGGGGUGCUCGAGUGGCGAACGGGUGAGUAACACGUGAGUAACCUGCCCUUGACUUUGGGAUAACUUCAGGAAACUGGGGCUAAUACCGGAUAGGAGCUCCUGCUGCAUGGUGGGGGUUGGAAAGUUUCGGCGGUUGGGGAUGGACUCGCGGCUUAUCAGCUUGUUGGUGGGGUAGUGGCUUACCAAGGCUUUGACGGGUAGCCGGCCUGAGAGGGUGACCGGCCACAUUGGGACUGAGAUACGGCCCAGACUCCUACGGGAGGCAGCAGUGGGGAAUAUUGCACAAUGGGCGGAAGCCUGAUGCAGCAACGCCGCGUGCGGGAUGACAGCCUUCGGGUUGUAAACCGCUUUCGCCUGUGACGAAGCGUGAGUGACGGUAAUGGGUAUAGAAGCACCGGCUAACUACGUG